rnacentral:lncRNA from 1 species
UGAGUUUUGAUUAGUAUUAUUGUGAUUGAGAUAUUGUUGAUUGAGUUACUGUGGCAGGAACAAUACAUGUUGCUGGUAAACCCACUCAUGUAUUGUUCGACUCGAGGGGCAACACAUAGCUUUGUGACCCCUGAAGUAGCUGCCCAGUUUUGGGAUUGUUUUGUGGUUGACAGGGUAAGCGUGGCAGUCUUGACCCCUGCAGACCGAACCCUUCAAGCGGAUCAGCGUAUCAAGAAUGUUCCAUUGGUUAUUCAAGAGAAAGAGUUCGUGGCAGAUUUGCUAAUCAUGCCUUUGGAAGGGUACGAAGUCAUCCUUGGAAUGGACUGGUUAUCGAGAUACGAAGUUCAGAUUGAUUGUGGAAAAGGGAGAUUGUUGUUUGGCAGAGGCAAGCGUCCAGAGAUGGUAUACUUUGGAAUCAGUCCUAGUAUGACCGUGUCACUGAUAGCAGCAUUGAGAGUUCAAGAUUUGUUUCAAGACGGGGAAGUGUAUUUGGUAACUUUAUCGGUUAGUGGAGGAGCCACUGACGAUGAAGUUAAGGUUGAAGACAUAGACGUGGUCAAGGAGUUUGAGGAUGUAUUUGCACCGCUAAAGGAAUUACCUCCACCUCGGAGUAAUCCCUUUACCAUUACCUUGGAGCCUGAAGCAAGACCUAUUGCCAAGGCACCGUAUCGGAUGGCACCAGCAGAGUUAGCUGAGCUAAAGAAACAAUUGGAAGAUCUAUUGGAGAAAGGAUUCAUCCGAUCAAGUUCCUCACCUUGGGGAGCUCCUGUUCUAUUUGUGAAGAAGAAAGACGGAAGCAUGAGGUUGUGUAUCGAUUACCGCGGUAUCAACAACAUCACCAUCAAAGACAAGUAUCCUCUUCCGAGGAUAGACGAGCUAUUGGAUCAACUUAAAGGAGCAAGUUGGUUUUCGAAGAUUGAUUUGGCAUCAGGGUAUCAUCAAAUUCCCAUUGCCGAGUCAGAUACUUUGAAGACGGCAUUUCAGACAAGGUAUGGGCAGUACGAGUUCGUGGUUAUGCCCUUUGGUCUCACCAACGCCCCUGCAGCUUUCAUGCGUUUGAUGAAUGAAGUGUUUCAUGACUACCUCGACAAGUUCGUGAUCAUCUUCAUCGACGACAUCUUGGUGUACUCGAGAAGCGAGGAGGAGCACAAAGAGCAUAUCAGACUAGUUAUGGAGAGGUUGCGAGAUCAGAAGCUAUUUGCCAAGUUCAGUAAGUGUUCGUUUUGGAAGAGAGAGAUUAGAUUUCUUGGUCAUAUAGUAUCAGGAGAGGGCGUGGCUCCUGAUCCAGAGAAGGUCCAAGCCAUACGGGAAUGGCCUAGACCUACCACAGUGACGGAAGUGAGGAGUUUUCUCGGACUCGCGGGCUAUUAUCGGAAGUUUGUUAAGGACUUUUCUUCCAUUGUAAAGCCCUUAACUAAACUGACCGGUAAAGGAGUACCUUACCUUUGGGUGGAAGCAACAGAGAAUGCAUUCAAGACGUUGAAGGAAGCUCUCACCACCGCACCGGUGUUAGCUUUGCCCGAGCAAGGAAAACCUUACACGGUUUACACGGAUGCUUCACGAGUUGGGCUGGGUUGUGUUCUUAUGCAAGAUGGGAGAGUCAUUGCAUAUGCCUCGCGGCAACUACGGAAGCAUGAAGAUAACUACAGCACACACGACUUGGGGUUAGCGGCCGUGGUGUUUGCUUUACGAAUUUGGAGAUCAUAUUUGUACGGGGAAGAAGUGGAGGUAUACACAGACCACCAAAGUCUUAAAUACCUCUUCACUCAGCCAGAUCUCAACCUGCGCCAGCGUAGAUGGAUGGAGUUUGUAGCUGACUAUGACCUAAAGAUUCGUUACCAUCCUGGUAAAGCGAAUGUUGUGGCAGAUGCCUUAAGUUGAAGGAAGAUGGAUUCAGAUUUAGAAAAAGAAGUGGAGCUGUUGAAUCAAGAGUUGAAGCAAGUGAAGUUGGCGGCUUUGGAAGGGCAGACAAGUGAACCAUUGGGAGUACAAGCAGUGAAUCAAGCCAGCUUGAUUCAGAAGAUUCGAGAGGAGCAACUUAAAGACGAGAAGCUACAAAAGAUUGCUGAAGAACUCAGAGGGCAAGAUGGACCAAAUAGUGCUGGCUACUACUUGGCGGAUGAUGGAACUUUACUUAUUAAUGGGAGGAUCACGGUCCCAAAAGGACAAGGGCUGAGAGAUGAGAUACUAAGGGUCGCACACCAUUCUUUACUUAGUAUCCAUCCUGGAAGUUCGAAGAUGUACAGAGACGUGAGAAGAUACUAUCAUUGGCCGGGCAUGAAGAGAUUGGUAGCACAAUGGGUCGCGCAGUGUGCAACAUGCCAACAAGUCAAAGUGGAGAACCAAGUUCCAGGAGGACUGUUGCAGAGUCUUCCGGUACCACAGUGGAAAUGGGACUCGAUUUCCAUGGAUUUCAUCACCGGUUUACCCACCGCUCCAGGUAGAUCGAACAACUCAAUCUGGGUGAUUGUGGAUAGGUUAACCAAGGUCACACACUUGUUAUCGAUGAGGGAUACGGAUAAAGUUGAAGUACUGGCCGAGCUGUACAUCAACGAAAUCGUGAAGUUACAUGGAGUACCUUCAGACAUCGUCUCAGAUCGUGACCCUAGGUUCACCGCAGCAUUUUGGGAAGCGUUACAGGAAGCCUUGGGGACAAAAUUGUUUAGAAGCACGGCGUUUCAUCCAGAAACAGAUGGCCAAACGGAGAGAACUAUUCGGACAAUCGAGGACAUGCUUCGGAUGUGUAUUCUCGAUUGGGCAGGAAGUUGGGAGAGGCAUUUACCGUUGGUUGAGUUCUCAUACAACAACAGUUAUCAUGCGAGCAUAGGGAUGUCACCUUAUGAAGCUUUGUAUGGAAGGCCAUGCAAGACACCUUUAUUUUGGACGGAAGUGGGAGAAAGAAGAAUGUUUGGAUCGCCGAUCGUUCAAGAGACUACGGUAAAGCUGGAGACGAUUAAGACCAACAUGAAGAAGGCUCAGGACCGUCAGAAGAAGUACGCAGACCAGUCAAGAAGAGAGGUAACAUUUGAGAUAUGAGAUUGGGUCUAUUUGAAGGUUACAGCAGAGAAAGGAAAGGACAGAUUUGGCAAGGUUGGAAAACUCGCGGUCAGGUUCAUUGGUCCGUACAAGAUCAUCGGUAGAGUUGGUGAGGUAGCUUACCGUUUGGAUCUGCCUGAAGAUAUGCAUCUACAUCCAGUGUUCCAUGUCUCCAUGCUUCGGAGACAUAUACGAGAUCCAAGUGCUGUAGAACCCGAGAGAAUCGAGGAGCUAAGGUCAGAUCUUACAUAUCCAUAAGGACCGAUCCGAUUGGGAGAAAGGCGUAUUAGAAGACUGAAGAAUCGUGAGAUUGCUCAAGUACAAGUUUUCUGGGGGAGACGAAACAGAAUUCAUGUUACUUGGGAGGAUGAAGAGAGAUUUAAGGUCGACCACCCUGAGUUUUUCCGAGAGGAUGUUGUGAUGGAAGAACGAGGCCCCUCAGAGGCUUAGAAUUCGAGGACGAAUUCUGUUAAGGGGGGAAGAAUGUAGAAACCCGUUAAAAAAAAAAAAAAACAAAAACAAAAACAAAAACAAAAAAAAAAUUUAUUAUUUAGUGGUCGUACCGCGGGCAAUGGAUGGUCGAAGAAUUGAUCAUGGGUGAACCAUAAGCUGCUGGACCAUGGUUAGAAAAGUGUUAGAUUGAUCAGAAGGAUGUUUUGGAAGCAUAACAUUUUUGGAAGCACGACGGUUUAGAAGCUCGACGUUUCAGAAACCCGUCAUUUCUUAGCCACUAAGUUUUCCGCAAAACUUAAUGGCUAUCACCAGAAUAUCAUUUGGAAGAUAUUAUAAGUUGGAAGCAGGACGGGAGUUAAGCAGGACGGGAAGUAAGCACGACGGGAUCGAAGCACGACGGGAAAACCCGAAGUUUGGCGAAAACCCUAAUUUUGGUAUUAUCGAUUUUUCGAAGAAGCCGGAGGCUCGAGAAAUAUUUUCCAUCAAGGUCAGGAUUCACUUGGAGUUUAUUAAAAAUAUUCAUCUCAUCAGAACGGGCGUAGAAAAAUAUUCGGGAUUGAUCGCGGGACGAAAAUUCACCGGAAGGGUCGAAAUCAGUCGACUGGACCGAGAAGCUCAAGCUGGCCUUAUCUAUGAGAUAAGGACGUGAUGUAACCUGCCUGGCAUGGUAUGUGGCAAGGGAAUCAGGAGGUGUUGAAGCCCAGGAGAGCACAGCAUGCUGAUUGACACCCAGAAGCACGAGGUGCCGCGAAACCUGCGAUCGGAGCAUGCUGAGCGACAUGUGUGCGCUGAGUGUCAAUCUGGAUGAGGUCAGGCCGUGGAUCAGACAUCUGGAGGGCAUGGUUUCACUCUGCAUGAUGUCCUGGUCAUGCCAUCAGACAUGUGGAGCACGAGGUGCCGCGACGUAUGCGUCCGGAGCCAUGCGAGGCGACACACGGGCUGCCACACGGCUUGUUUCUGAUUGGUUGCUGCAUCCUAUAUAAACCCCACGACCCCAGCUCAUUUCAAACCAUCCAGCACACCUGAAACUCAGAGAAAAACGUGAGAGAGAAAGCUAGAGAAAGAAAGUUUGAGUUUCGAUCGUUUUCGAGUCUUUUCGGCAGUUUUCGAGAACAGUUAUUCUACUCGAUUGGAGUCUACAUCUAAGAGAGGUUCUGCUCGACUCAAGAUCAGUUCAGAAGUGGGUCUACUUGUGAAGGUCAAGAAAGGGUUCGGAACGCAGAAGACGGAUUCGGGGUCAAGGCCACGGUCAACCAAAAACAGUGAGUUAUAAUCAAUUGUUUGCUAAGCUGUUUUUAUGCAGGUUCCCAUUACUUGGAAGUUGGAUCAUGGCAGGAGGCCAGGUCUAAACUAAGUAAUGGUUUGAUUAGUUGAUAGUAAUGGUUAGGUUGAUAGCAUGCUUAGUUAUUACUUGAGAACCGUAGUAGGAUGCUAAUGGUUAGGUUGAUUGGUUAGCAAUUUCUGAUUGCUUAGAUGAUAUUGCUAGGUUGCGGAUAGUUAAAUAUUCUGGAAUUAGUACUUAUGCUAGAUUCUAGAAUAUAUUUGAUUGUGUUUGGUUGUGAUGAUUGUGUGAAACCUUGGUUAUAUUACCGGGUUUUGGUAUUUGUUAUGUACUGGCCGACAGCAUUGUGUAACCCACAUUGCUAGGCAUGUGUAGGGGUGAGUUAGUGUUCCUUUAGACCUCGUACCCAGCGGGUUCAAGGAAACCCCUUAUUCGCUGGAUCGGGAAGACUCAGAGAGACGGGGUCAUUGCCUAUGGCUGAGUGAUUACACGACGGUGUAAUGUGGCAGUGACCCGAAGGACUGUGGGCUGUCGCGCGGUGACCCGAAUGACUGUGGGCCGCGGUCGGUUGAAAGUUCCUUCUUCCUGGCCUGUGUGGUGGGAAGUUAGGAUAUUGCCGAUAGUGAUGGGGGAACCUAACGUCACCGGGGCCCGAGUUAUAUAUAUAUAUAUUUUUUAUAAAGGGAUUUGGUAAACCCUAGUUUAUUGGGAUAUCGAUUUACAAAGACUAUAUUAUAGUAUCGAUAUUUUACUCGUAUUAUUUUACUACGGGUUUCAGAUUUUAUAUUAUUGCUGCUAUUCCUGAUUUAUGCUAUUAGGUGAACCUCUCGCUUUAGAUUGUUUGGGGUUGGGAUAGCGAGGGGUUGUAUUUGUUAGUUGGGGAUUGUAACUCACUGAGUAAUGCUAGAUUACUCACCCCUCACUCGUUGUCGUUUUCAGGUGACCAGUAGUUUGUAGCGGUCGCGGGAAGCUAGGCAGGCUGGUGUAGAUUUUGCAUCUUUUUGCUUGCGACGUUUUCAGACUAUAAGUAUGUAUCUUUUGCUCGAUGGCAUGCCACUACGCUUAUAAUAUUUUGUGUGUUGUGAACCGAAUAUGAUAUAAGAUAAAUAAAUUGAUGUUUUAUGUAAAUGCCUUGUUGUUUCUGAUAUUAGCUUUGUCCAAGCUAACACAACGCCAGGUCGGAGUACGGGUUGAGAAGCCUUAGGCUUCGAUAUGACGGGACGUGUUAGCGGGGGAACCGGCCAAGUCACGAAUUGCACUCUUUGUGACCAGGCUGGAACGCCCCUAACCCGUCAUGUAGCGCUCCCGGGCCUUGGUAGAAAGUCAUCCGUCGGUCAUGUUCUUGUUUGAUUGUUGGCCGGUGGUUCGACCUAUACCUAGAACGGUUCGGGGGUGUUACACCGACUGUCCCUGUUAAUCAUUACUCCGAUCCCGAAGGCCAACACAAUAGGAUCGAAAUCCUAUGAUGUUAUCCCAUGCUAAUGUAUACAGAGCGUAGGCUUGCUUUGAGCACUCUAAUUUCUUCAAAGUAACAGCGCCGGAGGCACGACCCGGGCAAAAAGAUGUUUUAGGAAACCAGCCGCUUCCCGCAUUAGGUUUAAAUAGGAAUAGGACUUACCUUUUUAUGUGUGUGCAGAUGGCUAAUCGCGGGAUAGGUGAUGAUGGACGAGAUCGGAUUUGGGGAGAGGGUAGGGUCUCAACAGGGAGAGGAUUGGGUUACAGAUCAGAGCAAGAUAAUGGAAAUGGCGUUAGUGAAAUGUUUGGACACGACAGGAGCCCUCUGCAGAGAACAAGAUCUUUUCCAGUGUACGGUAACCGGAUCAGAGUUACAAGGGAGGCCAGUUUGGCAAGCGUUAGUCCAAGUCGUAAUUGGGAGCAAAGACAUCAGCAAGAUCAAUCCGCUCAAUCAAACCCGAGGACAGAUCAGAACCGUGCCACAGAAAGACCACAAGAUCAAGGAGCAGAAAACACUUUGAAGCUGUUGCAUGAUGUGAUGACCCAGGCACUUAGUAACCGGAGCACACGUACUGAUACCCCUGAAGUUUCCAAGCUGUUAUCUACCAUGAAGAAUAUCGGAUCCUACAGAUACAAGGGAGGAUCAGAUCCUAUUGAAGCUCUCAAGUGGAUUACUAUGAUGGAGAAGAAUUUUGAAGCCAUGGAGUGCCCAAAAGAAUAUAUGAAGAAGAUCGCAGUGUACUAUCUUGAAGGAGACGCAACCGGAUGGUGGGACAGCAUAGAGAGGCAGCGUGGAGAUACCAUCACAUCAUGGGAAUCUUUCAAGGGAGAGUUCGAAAGGAAGUACUUUCCUCUUGAAGCAAAGCAUCGGUUGGAGCGUCAGUUUAUGAACCUUGUUCAAGGAGAUAGGCCAGUGAGGAGUUAUGAUUCUGAGUUCACAAGGUUGAGGCAACAUGUUUUUGAUGGACGUGAAGAUGAAGGAACGAUGAUCCGUAACUUCAUGUACGGAUUAAAGCCGGAGAUUGGAAGUCGUUUAGCUGGAAGCAACUUUAACAGCUUAUCCGAUCUGGUGGAGAAGGCUGUUAAUGUUGAGACUGCAGUAGAGACAUAAAAGAUGGUUACACAAUAUUCUGGAAGACACUCCAAGUUCAACCAAGGAGAAAGGUCGAAUUACAACAAGGGUCCAAGGUUUAACAAAGGCAAAGGGCGAGGAGGCCAAAGCAAUUAUCGUGGUAACUCUGGAGUCUGUUACACAUGUAGGCAGCCGGGACACAUAUCAAGGGUCUGUCCCAACAAUCAGCGGAACAACCAGCGGGGUAACCAGCAGGGUUAUCCACAGAUAAGGAUCGAGGAUGUGACUUGUUUCUCUUGCGGAAAGAAGGGCCAUUAUGCGUCGUCAUGUCCAAACAAGCCAAUCCCUGCGACCCCUCUCGCGAUCCGAGCUCCUCCUAGCCGUCCAGCAAUUGAGCCAGCACCAAAGAAGCAAAACCUAGGAGGUAGGGUUUAUGCCUUAGAAAUAGAGAACCCUGACAAUGCAGGACCUUCCCACGGUCCCAUUACAGGUAUAGUGGGUGUUCAACCUCCUCUUUUUAGUGUAUGGAAUUUAGUUAGGAUUCUGGUUAUAUUGCUUGAUCGUUAGGUUGCGCGUUUAGAAAUAUUAUGAUUGUGAUUGUGUGAGUUUUGAUUAGUAUUAUUGUGAUUGAGAUAUUGUUGAUUGAGUUACUGUGGCAGGAACAAUACAUGUUGCUGGUAAACCCACUCAUGUAUUGUUCGACUCGGGGGCAACACAUAGCUUUGUGACCCCUGAAGUAGCUGCCCAGUUUUGGGAUUGUUUUGUGGUUGACAGGGUAAGCGUGGCAGUCUUGACCCCUGCAGACCGAACCCUUCAAGCGGAUCAGUGUAUCAAGAAUGUUCCAUUGGUUAUUCAAGAGAAAGAGUUCGUGGCAGAUUUGCUAAUCGUGCCUUUGGAAGGGUACGAAGUCAUCCUUGGAAUGGACUGGUUAUCGAGAUACGAAAUUCAGAUUGAUUGUGGAAAAGGGAGAUUGUUGUUUGGCAGAGGCAAGCGUCCAGAAAUGGUAUACUUUGGAAUCAGUCCUAGUAUGACCGUGUCACUGAUAGCAGCAUUGAGAGUUCAAGAUUUGUUUCAAGACGGGGAAGUGUAUUUGGUAACUUUAUCGGUUAGUGGAGGAGCCACUGACGAUGAAGUUAAGGUUGAAGACAUAGACGUGGUCAAGGAGUUUGAGGAUGUAUUUGCACCGCUAAAGGAAUUACCUCCACCUCGGAGUAAUCCCUUUACCAUUACCUUGGAGCCUGAAGAAAGACCUAUUGCCAAGGCACCGUAUCGGAUGGCACCAGCAGAGUUAGCUGAGCUAAAGAAACAAUUGGAAGAUCUAUUGGAGAAAGGAUUCAUCCGAUCAAGUUCCUCACCUUGGGGAGCUCCUGUUCUAUUUGUGAAGAAGAAAGACGGAAGCAUGAGGUUGUGUAUCGAUUACCGCGGUAUCAACAACAUCACCAUCAAAGACAAGUAUCCUCUUCCGAGGAUAGACGAGCUAUUGGAUCAACUUAAAGGAGCAAGUUGGUUUUCGAAGAUUGAUUUGGCAUCAGGGUAUCA